rnacentral:rRNA from 1 species
GAUGAACGCUGGCGGCGUGCCUAAUACAUGCAAGUCGAGCGAACGGACGAGAAGCUUGCUUCUCUGAUGUUAGCGGCGGACGGGUGAGUAACACGUGGAUAACCUACCUAUAAGACUGGGAUAACUUCGGGAAACCGGAGCUAAUACCGGAUAAUAUUUUGAACCGCAUGGUUCAAAAGUGAAAGACGGUCCUGCUGUCACUUAUAGAUGGAUCCGCGCUGCAUUAGCUAGUUGGUAAGGUAACGGCUUACCAAGGCAACGAUGCAUAGCCGACCUGAGAGGGUGAUCGGCCACACUGGAACUGAGACACGGUCCAGACGCCUACGGGAGGCAGCAGUAGGGAAUCUUCCGCAAUGGGCGAAAGCCUGACGGAGCAACGCCGCGUGAGUGAUGAAGAUCUACGGAUCGUAAAACUCUGUUAUUAGGGAAGAACAUAUGUGUAAGUAACUGUGCACAUCUUGACGGUACCUAAUCAGAAAGCCACGGCUAACUACGUG